rnacentral:rRNA from 1 species
UGGUAGCUACAUAUAGAGUGAUCCUGGCUCAAUGAACCACCUUCGGGUGGGAGCAUUAGUGGCGAACGGGUGAGUAACACGUGGGCAAUCUGCCCUGCACUCUGGGACAAGCCCUGGAAACGGGGUCUAAUACCGGAUACUGACCUGCCAAGGCAUCUUGGCGGGUCGAAAGCUCCGGCGGUGCAGGAUGAGCCCGCGGCCUAUCAGCUUGUUGGUGAGGUAAUGGCUCACCAAGGCGACGACGGGUAGCCGGCCUGAGAGGGCGACCGGCCACACUGGGACUGAGACACGGCCCAGACUCCUACGGGAGGCAGCAGUGGGGAAUAUUGCACAAUGGGCGCAAGCCUGAUGCAGCGACGCCGCGUGAGGGAUGACGGCCUUCGGGUUGUAAACCUCUUUCAGCAGGGAAGAAGCGAAAGUGACGGUACCUGCAGAAGAAGCGCCGGCUAACUACGUGCCAGCAGCCGCGGUAAUACGUAGGGCGCAAGCGUUGUCCGGAAUUAUUGGGCGUAAAGAGCUCGUAGGCGGCUUGUCGCGUCGGUUGUGAAAGCCCGGGGCUUAACCCCGGGUCUGCAGUCGAUACGGGCAGGCUAGAGUUCGGUAGGGGAGAUCGGAAUUCCUGGUGUAGCGGUGAAAUGCGCAGAUAUCAGGAGGAACACCGGUGGCGAAGGCGGAUCUCUGGGCCGAUACUGACGCUGAGGAGCGAAAGCGUGGGGAGCGAACAGGAUUAGAUACCCUGGUAGUCCACGCCGUAAACGGUGGGCACUAGGUGUGGGCAACAUUCCACGUUGUCCGUGCCGCAGCUAACGCAUUAAGUGCCCCGCCUGGGGAGUACGGCCGCAAGGCUAAAACUCAAAGGAAUUUGACGGGGGCCCGCACAAGCGGCGGAGCAUGU